UAUUGUUCGGUUUUGCUGUGAGGAGGAAGAGGACCUGCGUUUUGGAUAACUGCGUUUUGAGCCAAGGAGAAGAUGAGGGAUUUGGGUAUAGGGUUGUGAUCGAUACUUAGUUUUUGGGACGUGUUAGUGCAAUAAUGUUUGUGAGAAGUGGUUCUUCUAUUUACACUGCUGGUGCUGAAGGGAUGAUUUGUGAAAUCGAUUCACUGACAGCAGCAAAGGUUUCUGUUAAGUCUGGAGUUUGUAUAUAUUGAAGUUAGUACAACAAAUCUUGGUAUUAUUGCUGGUGUGGCUGCUCUAAUUUUGGGAUCCAAGAAGUUACCUGAAUUGGGCAAGAGGUUAUGAAGACUAUCAAGAGUUUCUAACAGUCAAGGGAGAUUAGAGUUGCUUGGAGAGUGGAGAGCUAAAAGUGGUGUUUUCUUGAUUGGCUAGACAAAUUUGUCAUUCGGCUCUGAGUUCUUUUCUUUGGUUGCAC